AMUAAACUGGGAUUAGAUACCCCACUAUGCCUAACCGUAAACUUUUAUUUACCUCCAUAUCGCCCGGGAACUACGAGCAAAGCUUAAAACCCAAAGGACUUGACGGUACCCCAUUCCCCCUAGAGGAGCCUGUCCUAUAAUCGAUAACCCCCGUUUAACCUCACCAUUUUUAGUCUAUCAGCCUGUAUACCUCCGUCGUCAGCUUACCUCGUGAGCGAAUCUUAGUGAGCUUAAUGCCCUUACGCCAACACGUCAGGUCAAGGUGCAGCAAAUGAAAUGGGAAGAGAUGGGCUACACUUUCUAACAUAGAAAACACGAAAGACUAUUUAUGAAACCUAGUCAGAAGGCGGAUUUAGCAGUAAAAAGAAACUAGAGUGUUCUUUUUAACUUGGCACUGGGGUGUGUACACACCGCCCGUCACCCUCA
rnacentral:rRNA from 1 species